rnacentral:tRNA from 1 species
AUUUUCAUAGUUUAAUUAAAAAUAAAAACCUAACUCUUUCAUAGUUAAAAUGAAGCAGCUCUUCUGAAAAUU